CAUAUAUCCUAGCAGGUGUAAUUUACAAAAUAUAUUGAAACUUAACCUGUACAGCUACUCAAGGGUUGUUAUGUUUAUAAACCAUGUGUUUCUAGGUACGUGUCAGGUGAGAUUCAUGAAGUAUUUGAUUGGUGUACCGUUUCAAAAUAGCGUAUACAAUUCAGUUCUGAGAAAAAACAACUCCUCCUUCAAUGCUUGGUUUUCAUUAGUGAACAAAUAUUUUCAGUCGAACACUGGUGAUUCUGAACAAGGCUUUCACGGGGAACAUUUUGAUAUAAAAUUCGUGUAUUUAGACUUUCAGGCUGAAGCACUUCAAAUUUCUAAGCCCUUUGACAGAUUCGGCCCAUGGCCUACAUGCAGUAUUAGCUAUUACAUUUUCGAACAACUGGGCCGGGACUCGAACUAUCUGACCCACAAUUUAACAACGGUCACACACGUGCGUGUAUACAUGUAGGGAGCACUCAUCAGAUCUGCUAUACAUACUCUCCGACAUUAUAAACAGGGCGUAAUCAUACAUUGCGAGACCUUUCCGCUAUCCCGAGAAAUGACAGCUCCCGUAGGCCCAAAUCGAUCGUUCCUUCAAGACGACCAAUCACUGUGGAAGUCUUCGUCACGGGAUCUAGCGUUACGACGUGUGCAAAUAACAAGUUGGUUGACUUUGUGCAGAGUGUUUGCAUUUGUUGGAAAGCGAUAGAGACUAUUUUGGAGGACAGAGGAUUCUCUUCACUGACAGAUACUGAGGGAGCGAUAAAAUCUGCACUGGUGAAAAGAAUGCAACACUGACACUGUCUUGACAAAUUCAUUUCCAUCAGCGGUUCGGUGGGUAACAAACAGACCACAAGACGAGGUCACGCCUUCUGACUGCGCCAUUUUGUGAAGUUGUGAAGCACGGUGGGAUUUGUGUCGACAGUAAAAAACCGAGGGUGUAAUGGCUGAAAGCAAGGAAAAUCGUGAAGCAGUCCUCACAUGUCCGAUAUGUGUGGAAACAUUCCGCAAACCAGUAACGUUACCUUGUCAGCACAGUUUUUGCAGGGAGUGUAUUGGUGUGUAUGCUGACAAGUUUAAACCUGGACAGACAGAUGAGGUCUUCACGGGGAGUGAGGGUGUUCACCAGCUGAUCUCAUGCCCUGUAUGUCGGACACCAACCAGUCUGGGGAGAGAAGGUGUGGCUGGUCUGCCUCACAACUUUCAUCUGGCUGAAAUAGUGGAGAGGUUCUCUUCUGCUGUGAAGUUUGAGGAUGAUACCCCAUAUUGUUCUCUGUGUGAGGAGGAUAAUCAGGCUAAAGCUGUCAAGUUUUGUACCAACUGUUGUUUACUGUAUUGUAAAGACUGUCUGGUUUCUCUUCAUCCCAUGAGGGGGGCUAUGAAACGUCACUGGCUGAUUUCCUCCCUGGAGUACCUCUCUCAGGAAACCUCACAGCGACAGA